rnacentral:rRNA from 1 species
CAUGCAAGUCGAGCGGGGAAUAUUGAGCAGCUUGCUGCUUGGUAUUUCUAGCGGCGGACGGGUGAGUAACGCGUGAGCAACCUGCCUUUAUCAGGGGGAUAACGCAUCGAAAGAUGUGCUAAUACCGCGUAAGACCACAGCUUCACAUGGAGCAGAGGUCAAAGGAGCAAUCCGGAUAAAGAUGGGCUCGCGUCCGAUUAGCUAGUUGGUGAGAUAACAGCCCACCAAGGCGACGAUCGGUAGCCGACCUGAGAGGGUGAUCGGCCACAUUGGAACUGAGAUACGGUCCAGACUCCUACGGGAGGCAGCAGUGGGGAAUAUUGGGCAAUGGGCGAAAGCCUGACCCAGCAACGCCGCGUGAGGGGAGAAGGGUUUCGGCUCGUAAACCUCUGUCCUAUGGGACGAAGGAAGUGACGGAACCAUAGGAGGAAGCCCCGGCUAACUACGUGCCAGCAGCCGCGGUAAUACGUAGGGGGCGAGCGUUGUCCGGAAUGAUUGGGCGUAAAGGGCGCGUAGGCGGCCUGCUAAGUCUGGAGUGAAAGUCCUGCUUUCAAGGUGGGAAUUGCUUUGGAUACUGGUGGGCUGGAGUGCAGGAGAGGAAAGCGGAAUUACCGGUGUAGCGGUGAAAUGCGUAGAGAUCGGUAGGAACACCAGUGGCGAAGGCGGCUUUCUGGACUGAAACUGACGCUGAGGCGCGAAAGCGUGGGGAGCAAACAGGAUUAGAUACCCUGGUAGUCCACGCGGUAAACGAUGAAUGCUAGGUGUAGGAGGUAUCGACCCCUUCUGUGCCGCAGUAAACACAAUAAGCAUUCCGCCUGGGG